rnacentral:lncRNA from 1 species
AUGUACUUGGGGUUUUCUGUUCUCUCUCAUAUUCCCUUUGAUACAUAUAUUCUCAUGCUACCUAAGUGCUGCUUGCCUCGCCAGAGGCUGCCCAGAAGCACAUAUGCUUGGCCAAAAGCCUUGUGUGGCUGCAUGUUUGGAGAAAGAUCCUUUGGAAAGGGGAGGAUGAGGAAGCAGCAAUGCCACAGUUGUUCUUGGCACACCACAAUCCAGCCAGUAUCAAGGGCCAGGAUGCUUUUUUUUUUUCUUCUUUUUUUCUUUUUUACCUCCUCUCUUCUCUCCAGCGAACAUCCUGGGAAGCUUUCAAGGGAGGAUUCUGAGACAGAGUGGCCGGGACAGCAUGCAGGUGGUACCGAUGCACAUGGACGAGGUAGUUCCUACCCAGGGACUGUCUCCAUGUCUGCAGCCCAGCAGAGACAGCACUGCCUCAAUCAUGCCUGGAUGUUCACACUCCUUCGGGAAGUCCUGCAGUCUUCAGAAAUGAUUGGUGCGCCUGCCCUUUCAUAUGGAGAAUUAACUGUUCUCAGCUGCAUGGAAAUCCGCAUGUCCUUGAGGCUGUUGUACUUCACUGAGUGGAGGCAAAACCCAGCUGAUUUUCCACACCUCCCCCAGACCUACUGGCUGACCAGCAGCAGCAGCAGCAGCCUGCCUGUGGCGGUGCCUCUGGGCACGAGGAUGUUGGUGGAGUAA